rnacentral:rRNA from 1 species
UACGUAGGAGGCGAGCGUUGUCCGGAAUUAUUGGGCGUAAAGAGCUCGUAGGCGGUUUGUCGCGUCUGCUGUGAAAACCUAAGGCUCAACCUUGGGCUUGCAGUGGGUACGGGCAGACUAGAGUGCGGUAGGGGUGACUGGAAUUCCUGGUGUAGCGGUGGAAUGCGCAGAUAUCAGGAGGAACACCGAUGGCGAAGGCAGGUCACUGGGCCGCAACUGACGCUGAGGAGCGAAAGCAUGGGGAGCGAACAGG